GUCGUUGCAAGUCGCUCAGUUCUGUAAGACGUAGAAGUUUGUGACAGACAGAAAGACGCAGGGUGUCCAAUGCAGACAACGGAAGGGACAACAGGCCGCAACCGCUUCAGAUCAUAUAAUUACGCAGUUUACUUCAUGUCAUCCUAAAUACCAGUCUAGCAUCUCGUGCUUGCUGUUCUGGGGAUUUGCCCUCGGGGCUUCUUCUCCUGUGACUAGCCCAUCUGGGCUUUCGAAAUCCAUUGCUUUGCCCUAACAAGACUUCCGCCACGAAGGAUUAGACCAUCACUAUUAUACAGAAUAAUUAAUAUUAAGGUUGUUUAGAGAAAUGAUCGCUGUAUAUGCUGAGAAUCAUACGAAAACCAUUAUACAUGAUGUGGUUAAAACAGUUACUGGCGGUUAUAGAAGGUGGUAUAUAUAGUUACCACAGUGACUUAAAUAGUUUUAAUGUAGAGUGAAUAUGAUACGACUUAGACACAAAAAACUACGAUUCCUUUAACCGGAUUAUAAGGGGGGAGGAAAAUGACGUUUUCGAGUUUGGGUUGAGGAGUUAUGGAAGGCGGGGUAACUUAGCGGUGGUUGUUGCCACUCAUUAUGUCAUUGUGUGCACGCAACUUCACAUGCAGUGCUGCCACCUUCUUACAGCCGUAAGUAACUUGUACUAUUAUAUUAAAGGUGGUGGUUCCUGGCAUUGUACUUUGAUAAAUUCUAUGCCUGGAAAUUAAGAGAAGAGGUAAAGAAAGUUAUUUAGACAGAAGUCAACUUGGGCAUUUAGCAAAGAGUUAAAUAGGAACAGCGUUAAUAAACUAGAGAGAGAAAUGAAGAGAAAGUGAUGAAUGUGUAUUAAAGAGGGGGAACUUGGUUUAUUGAUUUAAUUAUAAGAUGAAAUUGAGGCGUUUAUUUACAGAAGAAUCAUCCACAUAUAAAAUUGUUGAUUAAUGUAAGGAGACAGCGAAAUUUCAAUGACUUUGUUUAAUAUUUUUUACUUGGGCAAUGCUGUCUCUUUUGUGUGUAAAAAUGUAAGGAACAAGGAUUCAAAUGUCGGAUUUGGCACGGCCAUUUGAAGAAAGUAACUCUGUUACUUCUGUCAGACCCUAUAAUCAAAUUCCAGAAUGAAACCUAUCCUUCCAUUUUAUAUGCCACAUUUUAUUCACUGGUUCGACCUCACUGUUUGAUUGUGAUUUGAAUUUAAUAGUGGACAAGGAAUCGUGCACAAACAGCAAGAACAAAUAUAUAAAUAAACAGCA